ACCACGGGACCGAUCUGGCGAUUUCCGUCGACGGGAUGCCCGUCAACAUGCGCACGCAUGGCCACGGACAGGGCUGGGCCGAUCUGAAUUUUCAGAUUCCGGAAUUGAUCGAAUCGGUCAACAUCAAAAAAGGCCCCUACUUUGCCGACGAGGGCGAUUUUGCCUCGGUAGGAGCCGUGCACGUCAAUCUCAUCGACAGCAUCGCGAAGUCGACGCUGUCGACCACCAUCGGCAGUCUCGGCUAUCGUC
rnacentral:misc_RNA from 1 species